GUAGAUAGACCUAGUCCACUCCCUAUUUCUAACCAGUCCAGAGAAAUGUACAACCCAGGGCCUGAGUAGUGCAAGUCUCCCGGAGUGGGGGAAGUCUAACCUUGAGCAGCUACUAUCUAGAUCAUGAGAACUGGAGACACGUGGAGGAUCUAGAAAUGGCUGACAGGAUCUGAGGCCUCAGGGAAUGGACACAGCCUUACAAAAACUAAAGAGAGGAGAGGGAAGUUGGGGAGAAAAGAUGGGGGUGACAGGCUCCACCAGCUUCUCGGAUGGAGCCAGCGCCCGUAUCCAUGCUAUCCGACUGCAAAGAGAGUCGUGGACGUGAAAAGAAAAGGCACAACAAGGGAGAGAGAACCUGCGCCCCGCGAUGGGCGCUGGGCCGUGCCGCCACCUACCGAGUCCGAGACGAAGCCUCGGGUUUGCAGGACCUUCAUACCCCAGACACCGAACCGAGCCCGAACUGCCAACGCCGAGCCUGCCAUUGUCUUCGGCGUUGCUCAGCUCGCGUUGCGGGCGUGGCUGCUUCUCUCCUAGCGCGCUAACUGCGAGGGCGGCUGAACUGCCAAUCUAGACGCCGGGGAGGUGGGACGAGCACGGAAACCGCGAAUCAGGAGGGAGGGGGCGGGGCUUAUGAUAUCUGCAGCGUUUGUUGAGAGGGAGGCGGAUUUAUCCCUUAGUUAACAGUUAAUAAACAAGGCUCUAACGCAUCAUGACCCAGGAGUCUACAGAGCGAAGUCAAAAGAUGAA
rnacentral:lncRNA from 1 species